rnacentral:rRNA from 1 species
GGCGCGCCUACACAUGCAGUCGAAACGGUAACAGGAAGCAGCUUGCUGCUUCGCUGACGAGUGGCGGACGGGUGAGUAAUGUCUGGGAAACUGCCUGAUGGAGGGGGAUAACUACUGGAAACGGUAGCUAAUACCGCAUAACGUCGCAAGACCAAAGAGGGGGACCUUCGGGCCUCUUGCCAUCGGAUGUGCCCAGAUGGGAUUAGCUAGUAGGUGGGGUAACGGCUCACCUAGGCGACGAUCCCUAGCUGGUCUGAGAGGAUGACCAGCCACACUGGAACUGAGACACGGUCCAGACUCCUACGGGAGGCAGCAGUGGGGAAUAUUGCACAAUGGGCGCAAGCCUGAUGCAGCCAUGCCGCGUGUAUGAAGAAGGCCUUCGGGUUGUAAAGUACUUUCAGCGGGGAGGAAGGCGAUAAGGUUAAUAACCUUGUCGAUUGACGUUACCCGCAGAAGAAGCACCGGCUAACUCCGUGCCAGCAGCCGCGGUAAUACGGAGGGUGCAAGCGUUAAUCGGAAUUACUGGGCGUAAAGCGCACGCAGGCGGUCUGUCAAGUCGGAUGUGAAAUCCCCGGGCUCAACCUGGGAACUGCAUUCGAAACUGGCAGGCUAGAGUCUUGUAGAGGGGGGUAGAAUUCCAGGUGUAGCGGUGAAAUGCGUAGAGAUCUGGAGGAAUACCGGUGGCGAAAGCGGCCCCCUGGACAAAGACUGACGCUCAGGU